AAUGAUCUAGCAGGCCUGGUCUCCUGUUACAUCCUGGCUCAGAUGUCUUCCAUCCAGUCAAGCCAGCCUGGCUGAAGCUGUCUGAGUGGCUCACUUCUGACCUCCAUCUUCAUAAAGGAAGAAGGAACCUGGCAACCCUGGACAAUGUUACUUACCAGGAUAUUAGGCAAACUGAAAAAUAUAUCAAGCCCACUUAUGAAAAGAUCUUGGGAGGAGGAGUAAUGUAUAAAUACAUUCAGAAGGAACCCUACGAUUCAUACCAACCUAAUUUUCUUAUUAGAAUAUGAAGCAAGGAAGGAAGGAUUCUCUACAAAGCAAAGCUACAUUUGCUUCUCCUUUUGUAAAGGCCAAUUUCUGCUGGAAUAAAAUAUCUGUAAAAAUAAUAUCA
rnacentral:lncRNA from 1 species